GCAAGUGCGGCUUCCAGAAAAUCAGCCUGGAUCUUUUAGACAUAAAUGACAGUACCCACAGUACCCAAGACUAAAGGCAAAAGAAAACACUGUUCUAGUUUCAUGUGAAGUUUAAGAUGCAAAAGACCAAUCAGAUCAACUAGUUUAUCCUCUAUCAAUGCCAGAUAAUUCCCUCUGUAGAUCUAGUUACUUGGUUAAGUCUAGUUAGAAAUGUUCCAGCUCAGGAAAUGUUCAAACGUUUCUCAGAAGACUGUUCAUUCUAACAGCACAGAUUGUUAAUAAAUUUUUCUAGGUUUGCCCUUAAAUUUUCUUUACAAUUUUCUUUCAUUUUCAUAAUCCUAUUUAUGUAGCAAGCCACAUCAAAUGGUAUUUCAUUUCUCAUUAUCUACACUCAUAAAAGCCUCAAAAUAAACUAAGCUUUUGUUUA
rnacentral:lncRNA from 1 species